rnacentral:misc_RNA from 1 species
GCCAUUUACAACUCAUAUUUACAGAAUAAUGCCCUCGAUUUCCCAACAAAAUUCUUAAUCAACCUAUGAGAAUUUUCUUCCCAACUCCCAUCCACUUUUUCACCUUGAGAAGUGAAUGCCUAGGUACAAGCAGUUACGUAUAUAUUCAUAAUUUCAUAUUAUCACCCAUUUUUCUUCCUUUUUCAGCUUCUGUGCUAGUGGUUUACAAACCUAGGCCGCGCAAGCGCUGAGGAGACAAUAUGUCGGCUGCCAUGACGGUCCAGGAUACCAGAAAAUUGGGAUUCAAAAGCCCUGACAAAUCAAUGACCAGCCAACAUACCAUGCCAUGCCAGCGAGACUUUCCAGGCAACAAGAAAAUACAAGACCAUAGAUCUUACAUUCUCUUUUCACCAAUCUUAGUAACCUCCAACACUGUUGCAUUGCAAAAGAAACAUCUAUGGCAAUUCAAAAGAUGUCUUGUUAUGCAGCCAUAGCAAGACUUAUGGGAACAAGGGGCAAACUGUGCAUCUGCUUCGCAAGUAUAACAAAUGCAGCAUUUGCCAUCA